rnacentral:lncRNA from 1 species
CUUCUUAUUCAUUUUUUCAAGAUUAAGUAAUUUCUCCUCCUCUAUGUUCUUCGUUACCAGAGGAUAGGAUGAACAGCCCGGAGACUGGUACGACACUCUUACGGUGGCCCUGUUUGGAUAAGGAACGAACAAAAUCUAGAAUAUAAGACAAUUAUCUGUAUUUUAUUUUCAUGACUCCCCAUUUUGGAUAAGGAACCAAUGAACCUUCCAUCUUUCCCCUUCCAAUUGCCAUCAUCAUAUUCAUUCCACCUUUUCAGUGCCCUCUGUUUUCUCAGAUUCACACCAAAAAUUCAACACUUUUACGGCUCCCAUUAACCAGAUCUAAACAGAUUUCGUCGAGUGGUCUUACCCGAUUCAUAUCUCAAAUUACUUGUCGAUUCUGUUCGAUUUGAAUAUUCGGCAAGUGGGAUUGAGACCUUGUGGACAGUAAGUUAAAUUAUUUAAGAAUUUACUUCUGGUUUUUGUCAGUAUUAGGGAUUGCCGAUUGAUUGUCUUUUGGCUUCAAAUCUAUAUCUCUUUCAUUCAAUUACACAAAAUAAAAAUUAUUUGAACAGAUACUCAGAUUAGUAAAUUGAUAAACAGAGUCAAGCCGAACAGAUGGUGGGUUUGGAUGCUUUAUUUCUGGUUUGUUUUCAAUCUUUUUGUGUGAAUUUCACAACUGGGUUUUGUGUAAUCCAACAACUUUCUUAUCGAUUUUUGACCUGUGAUUAAGUGAUCUGUGUGGGAUUAUUGUUUUGUUUUUUAUAAAGUAAUUAAAAGUAAAGGGGAAGGGAAAUUACCAAUUUACCCAUUAUGUGCAUGUCAUGUGACUAAUAAUUAACAGGGUUUAGGGUUGAGUUAGACUCAGGGGCCAAAAUAGUUAGUUAUAGAGACCAUGAGGGCACAUAUGUUAAAAAUUCUUAUUUUGGGCUAAUAUAGUAAAACUCAUAUAACCACAGAGGCCAAAAACGUAAUUUACUCUAUACAAAACAUAAAACUU